rnacentral:rRNA from 1 species
UACAGAGGUCCCAAGCGUUGUUCGGAUUUACUGGGCGUAAAGGGUGCGUAGGUGGUCGGGUAAGUCUGAUGUGAAAUCUCGGAGCUCAACUCCGAAACGGCAUUGGAUACUAUUCGGCUGGAGGGUUGGAGGGGAGACUGGAAUACUUGGUGUAGCAGUGAAAUGCGUAGAUAUCAAGUGGAACACCAGUGGCGAAGGCGAGUCUCUGGACAACUCCUGACACUGAGGCACGAAAGCUAGGGGAGCAAACAGG